GGAGCCCCAGCCCCAGAAGUCCCAGCUGUUCCAAUUCUGUGAUCAGGACAGAACACAGAAAUCUCACCAUGGAGUUUGUGCUGGGCUGGGUUUUCCUGGUUGCUCUUUUAAAAGGUGUCCAGUGUGACGUGCAGCUGGUGGAGUCUGGGGGAGACCUGGUGAAGCCUGGGGGGUCCCUGAGACUCACCUGUGUAGCCUCUGGAUUCACCUUCAGUAGCUAUGAAAUGAACUGGGUCCGCCAGGCUCCAGGGAAGGGGCUGCAGUGGGUCGCAUAUAUUAGUAGUAGUGGAGGUAGCAUAUACUAUGCAGACUCCGUGAAGGGCCGAUUCACCAUCUCCAGAGACAACUCCAAGAACACGCUGUAUCUGCAGAUGAACAACUUGAAGACUGAGGACACGGCCACAUAUUACUGUGCAAGAGACACACACAUCGGAAGUAAAAAUGAGGGGAUUCUUCCUCCCUCUGUAUCAGAUUUCAUUCAGAACCUUAAUGGAAUGGGUGAUGUCCAGGCAGACAAACCAUGGAUGGAAAUCCCAAUCUCUUCUGGAAACACAUCACAGAAAUCCACAGAAACAGUGGUUAAUCUGUGUACCCAUGACACAGUCAAGAUGACACAUAAAGGUAAUCAUGACAAUUUAACCUCCUGUAAAUGUGGAGUUCAAAGACUAAAGAUUUAG